rnacentral:lncRNA from 1 species
GAUUUUAUUUAUUCAUGAGAGACACAGAGAGAGGCAGAGACAUACACUGAGGGAGAAGCAGGCUCCUCACAGGGAGCCCAAUGUGGGACUCGGUCCCAGGACCCCAGGAUCAUGACCUCAGCCAAAGACAGACAGUCAACCACUGAACCACCCAGGCGUCCCUGAUUUCAUUUUUAUAACUUCAUCAUUUUGCUCAUUGUUUGUGUGAUAUAGAUGCCUAAAGAAGUUAGUUGAUUAUUGAUAAUUCUUUCUGUUUCCCAUAUCUAUAAAUGCUCCCAUUGUGGGGAGGGGAGGUGUGUGUGCUCAUAUGUGGGUGCGUGCACAUGCAUGUAUGUGUGUGAUUUACCUCCCCUGAUGCCAUUUUAUUUCUUUUCUUUCUUUUAUAAGCAACUUUCAUCAUAUAGCGGUCUACACUUAGUCUCUAUUUCUCCUAAGCUAUCUUUUAGGAUCCAGAUAUGUGUCUUCUAAUCUGACUUCUGUCUAUAUUAGCCCACUACACUCAGUGAAAAUUACUCCUUAUUUAUACCCUUUAUCAUUUCUUUUUCAGAUCAUCUUUCUCUGCCUCUGAAUGUUGGAUUUUAUUGAAGCUCAGCAGUGAAAUCACUUGUUUUCUAAAUGAGUUCCUAUUUCUAGGCAACGUCAUUCAUUCCUAGGACAUCAUUAUGUUGAUGACUCUGUCUUAUCCCCAGCCUAGACCACUGAACACAAAUAAUCAACCAUUAAUUUAAACUUUCUAUUUGAUGUCCAAAGAAACCUCAGACUCAACUUUUCCAAAAUGGAGUUAUUAUUUGGAUUAUUCUUCCAACUCCAAAUUUACUCCCACUUAUGUAUAUUCUAUCUAAAAACUGUAUAUAGUAACAGUCAAAUAUCCAUCAAGUUUUCAGGUUAUAAACUUAAGAGUUAAUAAUAUUUUUAUUUAAUUCAAUUAGUAAUCAUUAAUAUAUUCUGUCAAUUUUAUUUACUAAUUCCAUCAAUUUUAGCCAGAUUUUAAAUAAGAUUUCUAUAUCUAAACUGUAAUCUUCUAAGUGGAAUUAUUGCAAUUCUUUAUCUUUCUAUUUUCAUUCAAAUAUUGGCUUGUGUUCCAUUUCCCACAUUUUAGCAGUGUGAUAUUUUAAAAUGUGCAGUUGAUCAAUGAUGGGUUUCUCAGUGGGUGUAAAUAUUUUAUGAGAGUAGGAACCAUAAAUGUUUUCACCCAGGAGUUUUUCUUAGAAUAGUACCUAAUGAAAAGACCAAACCCAUUCAUUUUUUUUUUCCAGUAGAAUCUCUACGUAUUUUCUUUAUGACAAAUACUGUUCAAGUCACUGGUUAAAAACAGAAAUAAACCAUGGCCUCAGUUUUCAAGGAAGCUUCCAUGCUUAGUGCAGUAGUAAGACUGUAGACAUUACAUACGUUGCAGUACAGAAAGACUAACCAACCUUCAAAGGCUUCAUUGAAUGGUGCCAUCUGCUGUGGGCUUCCUCAUUCUAACCAAAGGUCUAUUCAACUAUUCUAGUCAGCUCCAAAUAAUUUUGGCCCUUUUAUAAAUUAGACUGAGCCAAGUGAGUCUUUUCAUUGAUUUCUAGAGUUAUUCAAAAGUGGGAAUUUAUGCAAAACAACAAAAUAUGUAGGAACAAAUUGAUUGGACUAAAUAAAUCUCUUCUAUCUUGGUUUCCAAUGUAUGGUAAACUCAUAUCUCGCCCACAUGGACACUGUUGGUAUAUCUUCUUUUAAUGGGUCCAUAGUUGUAGGUCUAUACAUAUGGCUGAUGCAGCUAAAUCUUUAAGAUACUAGUUUUCAAACUGUAGUGGGCAUCAGAAUCACCUAGUUUGCUGGUCCCUAUCACAAUAUACCUAGUUAAUUAGGUUGGGGAAGUGAACUAUAAUUUGAAUUUCUAAAAAGGCCCCCAGUGAUGCAGGCAAACCACACUUUGAGAACGACUGGUUUAAAUCACAAAAACAAAAAACUUUGGACCUAUAGGAACAUAUUAUGUUUUCCCAACCUUCCAGUUUUGGCAUAAAGGGCAUGUUGACAUUCCUUAGGAUUUUUUUAGCUUUAUCAUUGUUAGGAGUCUCAUCUACUACUUUCAACCUAAGACUCCAAAUAUAUCUAAUGGGAAUGGAAACACAUAGAGGGGGUCUAAUUUCCCAAAACUCCAGAAAAAGUCAUGAAACAUCCCUUUCAUUUUAGAUUUCCUGAAAUGCAUUGGGAUACUCAAUUGAUCAGCCUAAUACUAAUCAACUCAUUCUUUCUAAUAUAUAUAUAUAUAUAUAUAUAUGUAUAUAUAUAUAUACAUACACAUUCACACAUACACACACACACUCACACACACAUACAUAGUCACAAACAUAAAUGCUGGCAAUAAUGAUAGGAGAGAAAAAUCGGAAUUGUAGUCUUUCUUAUUCCCAAACUGAUUACUAAAAGUGAAAGAAUAAAAUAUAAUAAACUCAAAUGCAUGAGCAGAUGGAGAAAUAUGAGAUCAUAUAACUGGAGGGGCAAAUAAAAACAACAAUGAACCGUUAAGACACUAUAUUUAAACCAUAGAUAAUAAAUAUUGAGGGAUAAAUUGUUCAAAAUACAGACAAAGAUUGUCAGAUUGAUAAAAAAUAAGCCUAUAUACAUGUAGCUUAAAAAUAUUUCUUUUAUAUCAGAAUCUAGAAAGGUUGAAAUAAAAAAUGAUGUGAAAAAAUCAUGUAAACACUAAUACAAAUUUUGUCAUUUAUAUCAACAUUGGACAGAUAGAAAAUAAUACCAGAAAAAGGAGGCCAUUUGAGAAACAUAAUUGUGAUUUAUAAUCCAGGCAGAUUAAUCUUCCAAACUUGUUUGCCCCUAAUAGCGUAUUCUUAAAAAUAUAUAAAGCAAAGACUGAUGGAGUUACAAGGAGAGACAAACUCAUAAUCAUAAUAAAAUUUUAAUAGACUAGGGACGUCUGGGUGGCUCAGCGGUUGAGCGUCUGCCUUUGGCUCAGGGCAUGAUCCUGGAGUCAUGGGAUUGAGUCCUGCGUUGGGCUCCCCGUAUGGAGCCUGCUUCUCCGUCUGCCCGUGUCUCUGCCUCUCUCUCUCUCUCUCUCUCUGUGUCUCUCAUGAAUAAAUAAAUAAUAUCUUUUAAAAAUUUUAAUAGACUUAUCUUAUAAAUUAAUGGAACAAACAGACAGGAAGGAUACUGGAGAUUUGAUCAAUACAUAUAACAAAUCGAGAUAUAUGCCAUUAAAACUGAGCAAAACUCAUUCAAGGGGAACCAUAACUGAAUUGGCCACUUUCAGGGCAUAAAGCCAAUCUCAAUAGUUUUCAAAGGAGAUGUGUUCUAGUUAGUAUAAUCUCUACCCACAAUAGAAUUAUAUUAGAAGUUAGAACAACAAUAUAAGUAGAAAAUAAAAGUAUAUUUCAGGGGCGCCUUGGUGGCUCAGUUGGUUAAGCAUCUGCUUUCAGUUCAGGUCAUGAACUGAGGAUGCUGGAUCAAGCCACGUAUCAAGCUCCCUGUGAGCCUGUUUUUCCCUCUCCCUGUGCCAUUCCACCUGCUUGUGCUCUCCCACUCUCUCUCUCUCUCUGUGUCAAAUAAAUAAAUAAAAAAUUUAAAAAAGUAUAUUCCAAGAUUAAAGUAUUUAUUUCAAACUUAUACAUGGUUCAAGAAAGAUAUAAAAUUAGAAAAAUGCAGAAAAUUAAAAAAAAAACACUAAUCUUCAGGGGAAAAAGAAAAAUAAGAAAGAGAAUUAUUAUCGCAGAAAAUAAAAUAAGACAAAUCCUUAAUUAAACAGAUUAAAAUUUAAGAAAGGUAAUUCAUAAAAGAGAAUUGCAGGGUUUAAGUGCUCCAUCACACUGUGGGCUCUAUUUGAGACCCAGAAUUUUCUCUUAUGAAUUGUUGCAAGACAACUGCUUUUUUAAAAAAUAUUUUAUUUAUUUAUUUAUUUAUUUAUUUAUUUAUUUAUUUAUUUAUGAGAGAAUUAGAGAGAGAGGGAGAGAAAGAGAGCGUGCAGGAGCUGGGGGAGGAGCAGAGGCAGAGGGAGAAGUCGACUUAACGCUGAGCAGGACACCUGACACAGGGCUCCAUUCCAGGUAAGUCCAAGGCCGACCUUAACCAACAAAGCCAUCAAGGCGCCCAGAAAUUCUGCUUUUUCUACUCAACUCAGCAGGACCUCCUUAGCCCUCAAAAUAUCACAACAAAGUCAUCAUCUUCUUAGCAAAGUCAUAACAUUGUGGCAAUGACAGGUUUCAGGUAACACA